UACAGAGGUCUCAAGCGUUGUUCGGAUUCAUUGGGCGUAAAGGGUGCGUAGGCGGUGGAGCAAGUCAGGUGUGAAAUCCCCGGAGCUCAACUCCGGAACUGCACUUGAUACUGCUUCGCUAGAGUACUGGAGAGGAGACUGGAAUUCAUGGUGUAGCAGUGAAAUGCGUAGAGAUCAUGAGGAAGACCAGUGGCGAAGGCGGGUCUCUGGACAGUUCCUGACACUGAGACACGAAGGCCAGGGGAGCAAACGGG
rnacentral:rRNA from 1 species